GAUGAACGCUAGCGGCAGGCCUAAUACAUGCAAGUCGAACGGAAUAUAGUUUUCGGAUUAUAUUUAGUGGCGCACGGGUGAGUAACACGUACAUAACUUACCCUCAAGAGGGGGAUAGCCUUGGGAAACUGAGCGUAAUACCCCAUAGUAUUAUUGAACGGCAUCGUUUGAUAAUUAAAGCUACGGCGCUUGAGGAUAGAUGUGCGUCUGAUUAGCUAGUUGGUAAGGUAACGGCUUACCAAGGCGACGAUCAGUAGGGGGCGUGAGAGCGUGGCCCCCCACACGGGUACUGAGACACGGACCCGACUCCUACGGGAGGCAGCAGUAAGGAAUAUUGGUCAAUGGAGGCAACUCUGAACCAGCCAUUCCGCGUGAAGGAUGAAUGCCCUCUGGGUUGUAAACUUCUUUAGUCUGGGAAGAAAACAUAUAUUCAUAUAUGUCUGACGGUACCAGAAGAAUAAGCACCGGCUAACUCCGUGCCAGCAGCCGCGGU
rnacentral:rRNA from 1 species